UGAUGACGUCACAGCAGCUGUAGGUGCGUGCCAUUUUUCGCCAUUUUAUGCGCUGUGUUUUGUGGUACUUCUGCUGUCAAGUAGCUGUUUAUGAGAUCGUAUUUUGUGUUUUGCGGAUAAAUUACGAGGAUUUGAUUUGCUAAAUCGAAGUUGAAGUUGAAAAAAGUGUUAUUCAACAUGUCCGUGUAUUGUAUUGUACAGUGUGGUGCCAGAAAGGACAGAAAUCAACCGUAUUUGUCACUUCAUAGGCCAUCUUUCAAUCCAAAAUUGUCGACUGGAUUUACUGAAACAGGUGAUAUUGGAAAACUAAUCCACAGCUGCAACGUCGUCUGUGCUGCCAUUGCCCGUACGUCUGUCUCAUAAGUCAGUACAUGAAAAGUCUGUUCAAGAAGACGCGAUGAAAAAAUUAAAAGAUAGCCAAUUUGAAGAAUAUUAUGGAAGAUCUGCAGAAUAAAAAUCAAAUAAUAAAGGGCAAAGUGUAUUGAUGGAAGAAUUGGCAGGACCUCAAGACUUUUUGAAAAGGCAGGUAAACAAAUUUCAAGGUUUACCUUUGCCAAAGAAGUAUUCCCAAGAAAUAAGAAAGUUUGCUUUAACUUUACAUUUUCUUUCUCCG